rnacentral:rRNA from 1 species
GACGAACGCGGGCGGCGUGCUUAACACAUGCAAGUCGAACGCUGAAGCCUAGCUUGCUGGGUGGAUGAGUGGCGAACGGAUGAGUAACACGUGAGUAACCUGCCCUCUUCUUUGGGAUAACGCCCGGAAACGGGUGCUAAUACUGGAUAUUCACUGAUCUUCGCAUGGGGGUUGGUGGAAAGGUUUUUUCUGGUGGGGGAUGGGCUCGCGGCCUAUCAGCUUGUUGGUGGGGUGAUGGCCUACCAAGGCUUUGACGGGUAGCCGGCCUGAGAGGGUGACCGGUCACAUUGGGACUGAGAUACGGCCCAGACUCCUACGGGAGGCAGCAGUGGGGAAUAUUGCACAAUGGGCGAAAGCCUGAUGCAGCGACGCCGCGUGAGGGAUGGAGGCCUUCGGGUUGUAAACCUCUUUCGCUCAUGGUCAAGCCGCAGCUUUGGGUUGUGGUGAGGGUAGUGGGUAAAGAAGCGCCGGCUAACUACGUGCCAGCAGCCGCGGUAAUACGUAGGGCGCGAGCGUUGUCCGGAAUUAUUGGGCGUAAAGGGCUUGUAGGCGGUUGGUCGCGUCUGCCGUGAAAUCCUCUGGCUUAACUGGGGGCGUGCGGUGGGUACGGGCUGACUUGAGUGCGGUAGGGGAGACUGGAACUCCUGGUGUAGCGGUGGAAUGCGCAGAUAUCAGGAAGAACACCGGUGGCGAAGGCGGGUCUCUGGGCCGUUACUGACGCUGAGGAGCGAAAGCGUGGGGAGCGAACAGG